UCGUGUCGUGAGAUGUUGGUUAAGUCCCGCAACGAGCGCAACCCCUAUUGUUAGUUGCCAUCAUUCAGUUGGGCACUCUAGCGAGACUGCCGGUAAUAACCGGAGGAAGGUGGGGAUGACGUCAAAUCAUCAUGCCCCUUAUGACCUGGGCUACACACGUGCUACAAUGGUUGGUACAACGAGUUGCGAGUCGGUGACGGCGAGCUAAUCUCUUAAAGCCAAUCUCAGUUCGGAUUGUAGGCUGCGACUCGCCUACAUGAAGUCGGAAUCGCUAGUAAUCGCGGAUCAGCACGCCGCGGUGAAUACGUUCCCGGGCCUU
rnacentral:rRNA from 1 species